rnacentral:rRNA from 1 species
ACGGCGCGGUGAAUACGUUCCCGGGCCUUGUACACACCGCCCGUCAAGCCAUGGGAGCCGGGGGUACCUGAAGUGCGUAACCGCGAGGAUCGCCCUAGGGUAAAACUGGUGACUGGGGCUAAGUCGUAACAAGGUAAC